AUUGCCUUUUGUCCGUUGUGCGUUGUAUGUCGUCAACAUUUUGCCUUGUGAACACUCUAGAUGCCACAUUUAUUGUCUGAUCUUCAUGAAAUUUUGCAGAACAUUUGUCACAUUGAUACCUCGACUGAGUUCGAAACUGGGUCAUGCUGGGUCAAAAAUUAGGUCACUAGGUCAAAAAAACAACAAAAAAACUUGUGAACACUGUAGAAGUCCAAUCUUCAUGUAACUUUGUCAAAAUGUUUGUCUAAAUGAUAUUUUGGUUUAGUUAAAAAUUGGUUCCGGUCCGUUGAAAAACAUGGCCGCCAGGGGCGGGGGCAUUUUCCUUAUGUCUUUAGUUAAACAUUGCUAACACUCUAGAGGCCACAUUUAUUGUCCAUUCUUCAUGAAAUUUGGUCAGAAGUUUGGUCUCAAUGAUAUCUUAGACGAGCUGAAAAUGGUUACGUUUGCUUGAAAAACAUGGCUGCCAAAGGGCGGGGCAUUUUUCCUUAUAUGGCUAUAUAUGGCUAUAGUAAAAUCUUGUUAACACUCUUGAGGCCACAUUUAUUUUCCGAUCUUCAUGAAACUUGGUCAGAAUAUUCAUCCCAAAAAAUAUCGUAGACAAGUUAAAAAAUGAUGCUGGUUGGUUGAAAAACAUGUCCGCCAGGGGGUGGGGCAUUUUACCUUAUAUGGCUAUAGUAAAACUUUGUUAACACUCUAUAGGCCACAUUUAUUUUCUUAUCUUCAUGAAACUUGGUCAGAAGAUUUGUCCUAAUGAUAUCUUGGAUUAGUUCAAAAAUAGUUUCGUUUGCUUAAAAAACAUGGCCACCAGGGGGCGGGGCAUUUUUCCUAAUAUGGUUAUGUAUCAUGCUUUACUAAAACAUUGUAAACACUCUGUAGGCCACAUUUAUUUUCCGAUUAUUAUGAAACUUGGUCAGAUGAUUUGUCCUAAUGAUAUCUUGGAUGAGUUCAAAAAUGGUUCUAGUUGGUGGAAAAACAUGGCCACUAAGGGGGCGUGGUAUUUUUCCUUAUAUGGCUAAAGUAAAACCCUGUUAAAACUCUAGAAGCCAUAUUUAUUGUACGAUCAUCAUGACACUUUGUCAGAAGAUUUGUCCCAAUGAUAUUUGGACAAGUUUGAAAUUGGUUCCAGUUGCUAAGAAAAACAUGGCCACCAGUGGGCGGGGCAUUUUUCCUUAUAUGGACUUAUGAAUCUUCUUGAAACUUUGUCAGUAUAUUAGUUUAAAUGAUAUCUUGGAUGUGUUUUUCACGUUGACAUUUGAAGCUUUAACUUUGUAUGAUUCUAAAUAUGUGUCAAUGCUGUCAGUUGAAUUUUGAAAUAUGAAGUUUUACAUUUUUUGUAGAUUAAAUAAUUUGUAAAAUGUUGCAGUUUCGUCAAUCAGUUUUAUAAGAUAUUGAGCUUUAGUUAUGAUGCAGAUUGUAAGAUUCUUAAUAUCUUUCAAUAUUGUGGAUAAGUUUUUGAGAUAUCAAGCUUUGAGUUUUAUGCAAAUUGUAUGAUUUUAAAAUGUUUUAAUGGUGUUGAUCAGUGUAAUGAAGAUUGCAUAAUUUUUAUGUUUUAAUUCUGUCUAUUGGUUUUCAAAAUGAAAGACUUUGAUUUUGUAAGUGCACUUUUAUCUCCUGAAAGAUUCUUUUCUAGUGUUUAGUUUAUAUUUUAAGGCUGUUUGCAAACUCGAAGUGAAAACAGUUCUAUUACAAUUUGGUAAGGACAUGACAUUGCAUAUCUGAUUUUAAAAUGUACUUUGCUGGCAACGUGUAAUUUUCUGAAAUGUCUUAGUAAGACUGUUGUUUGCAAUCAAAAGGUCUGUGCUUCAAAUACAGGGUAAUGCAUGUUUUUUUGUCCAAAUUUAUGGCGAUUCAGACAUUGUUCUAUGUAAAUUUGGGGUUUGCUUGAAGGUUCAGUCUAUUUUUAUGUCCCUCACUAUAGUAGUGGGGGACAUAUUGUUUUUGUCCUGUCUGUUGGUUGGUUGGUUGAUCUGUUUACGCCAACUUUAACAUUUGCAAUAACUUUUGCAAUAUUGAAGAUAGCAACUUGAUAUUUGGCAUGCAUAUGUAUCUCAUAGAGCUGCACAUUUUAAUUUUCUGAAAGGUCAAGGUCAGAGGUCAAAUAUAUGUGGCCAAAAUCGCUCAUUUUAUGAAUACUUUUGCAAUAUUGAAGAUAGCAACUUCAUAUUUGGCAAGCAUGUGUAUCUCAUGGAGCUGCACAUUUUGAGUGGUGAAAGGUCAAGGUCAUAAUUCAAUGUCAUAGGUCGAAUAUAUGGCUUCAAAGCGGCGCAGUAAGGGGGAUUGUGUUUUACGAACACAGCUCUUGUUGUUAACUGCCUUUUUAGUCCCUUACCAGUGUUUCACUAAAGUCCGUGUACUUUGGACUCAUUUCAAGUUGACAUUUGAAGCUUUAACUUUGUAUGAUUCUAAAUAUGUGUCAAUGCUGUCGGUUGAAUUUUGAAAUAUGAAGUUUUUCAUUUUUUGUAGAUUAAAUAAUUUGUAAAAUGUUGCAGUUUAGUCAAUCAGUUUUAUAAGAUAUUGAGCUUUAGUUAUGAUGCAGAUUGUAAGAUUCUUAAUAUCUUUCAAUAUUGUGGAUAAGUUUUUGAGUUAUCAAGCUUUGAAUUUUAUGCAAAUUGUAUGAUUUAAAAUGUUUUAAUUUGUUGAUCAGUGUACUGAAGAUUGUAUACUUUUUAUAUGUUAUAAUUCUGUCUAUUGGUUUUCAAAAUGAAAGACUUUGAUUUUGUAAGUGCACUUUUAUCUCAUUAUGCCCCCCUUCGAAGAAGAGGGGGUAUAUUGCUUUGCUCAUGUCGGUCGGUCUGUCGGUAUGUCAGUUUGUCGGUCCGUCCACCAGGUGGUUGUCAGACGAUAACUCAAGAACGCUUGGGCCUAGGAUCAUGAAACUCCAUAGGUACAUUGAUCAUGACUCGCAGAUGAUCCCUAUUGAUUUUGAGGUCAAAGGUCAAGGUCACGGUGACCCAAAAUAGUAAAAUGGUUUCCGGAUGAUAACUCAAAAAUUCAUACGCCUAGGAUCAUGAAACUUCAUGGCUAGAUUGAUCAUGACUUGCAGAUGACCCCUAUUGAUUUUGAGGUCACUAGGUCAAAGGUCAAGGUCACGGUGACCCGAAAUAGUAAAAUGGUUUUCAGAUGAUAACUCAAGAACGCAUAUGCCUAGGAUCAUGAAACUUCACAGGUAGAUUGAUCAUGACUCACAGAUGACCCUUAUUGAUUUUGAGGUCACAAGGUCAAGGUCACGGUGACCCGAAAUAGUAAAAUGAUUUUCGGAUGAUAACUCAAGAACGCUUUUGCCUAGGAUCAUGACACUUCAUAGGUACAUUGAUCGUGACUCACAGAUGACCCCUAUUGAUUUUCAGGUCACUAGGUCAAAGGUCAAGGUCACAGUGACAAAAAACGUAUUCACACAAUGGCUGCCACUACAACGGACAGCCCAUAUGGGGGGCAUGCUUGUUUUACAAACAGCCCUUGUUAAAGAUUCUUUUCUAGUGUUUAGUUUAUAUUUUAAGGCUGUUUGCAAACUCGAAGUGAAAACAGCUCUAGUACAAUUUGGUAAGGACAUGACAUUGCAUAUCUGAUUUAAAAAUGUACUUUGCUGGCAACGUGUAAUUUUCAGAAAUGUCUUAGUAAGUAAGACUGUUGUUUGCAAUCAAAAGGUCUGUGCUUCAAAUCCAGGAAAAUGCAUGUUUUUUGUCCAAAUUUAUGUCAAUUCAGACAUUGUUCUGUGUAAAUAUGGGGUUUGCUUGUAGGAUCAGUCUAUUUUUAUGUCCCCCACUAUAGUAGUGGGGGACAUGUUGUUUUUGCUCUGUCGGUCUGUUGAUUGGUUGGUUGGUCUGUUUAUGCCAACUUUAACAUUUUGCAAUAUUGAAAGUAGCAACUUGAUAUUUGGCAUGCAAAUGCAUCUCCUGAAGCUGCACAUUAUCAUUGGUGAAAGGUCAAGGUCAUCCUUCAAGGUCAGAGGUCAAAUAUAUGUGGCCAAAAUCGCUCAUUUUAUGAAUUCUUUUGCAAUAUUGAAGAUAGCAACUUGAUAUUUGCCAAGCAUGUGUAUCUCAUUGAGCUGCACAUUUUGAGUGGUGAAAGGUCAAGGUCAUCCUUCAAGGUCAGAGGUCAAAUAUAUGUGGCCCAAAUCGCUUAUUUUAUUAAUACUUUUGCAAUAUUGAAGAUAGCAACUUGAAAUUUGGCAUGCAUGUGUAUCUCAUGGAGCUGCAAAUUUUGAGUGUUGAAAGGUCAAAGUCAUCCUUCAAGGUCAGAGGUUAAAUAUAUGUGGCCCAAAUCGCUUAUUUUAUGAAUACGUUUGCACUAUUGAAGAUAGCAACUUGAUAUUUGGCAUGCAUAUGUAUCUCAUAGAGCUGCACAUUUUGAGUGGUGAAAGGUCAAGGUCAUCCUUCAAGGUCAAAUAUAUGGGUCAAAAUUGCUCAUGUUAUGUUACUUCUGCAAUAUUGAAGCUAGCAAUUUUAUAUUUGACAUGCAUGUGUAUCUCAUGGAGCUGCACAUUUUGAGUGGUGAAGGGUCAAGGUCAUCCUUCAAGGUCAAACGUUAUAUACGGGGCAUUGGGUUUCACAAACGCAUCUUGUUGUGUAUGUAAUUAAUUUUGCUUAAUUUUUGUGAUCCCCCGCCAACAGCGGAGGGAUAUUAAUUUGGCAUUGUCCGUCUUUCCGUCUGUCCGUCCGGCACUUUUGUGUCCGGAACCAUAUCUUGGAAGUGCUUUAGCAGAUUUCAUUGAAACUUGGUACGAGUAUAUAUAUAUGGAUAAGAGGAUGAUGCACGCCAAAUGGCAUUGUACAUCCUUGAUUAAUAGCGGAGUUAUGACCCUUUGUAUUUGAAAAAAAUGCUUUUUUGUGUGUCCAGAGCCAUAACUUGUAUCCAGAAGUAUAAUGGCGGGGGAUAUCAAUUCAACGAAUUUGCUUGUUAAAUCAGUUUUUAUUUUCAUGAUAAUCAUUUAGUUCGUACUGCAACUUAUGAUGGAUUGUUACUACUAUCUCCAAUUAUUUGUUUGUCAUGGGUCCGUCACCAUUUAUCUCUUAUAUAAUACUUGAAUUGAGCAUUUCACAAUCUGACAAUCAUGCAUAUCAUUUAUUAGUUUCAUAAUAAAACGUCUGACAAGGGUCAGAUAAUUUUAA